GUGGGGAAUAUUGGACAAUGGGCGAAAGCCUGAUCCAGCCAUGCCGCGUGUGUGAAGAAGGUCUUCGGAUUGUAAAGCACUUUAAGUUGGGAGGAAGGGUAGUAACCUAAUACGUUGCUACUUUGACGUUACCGACAGAAUAAGCACCGGCUAACUUCGUGCCAGCAGCCGCGGUAAUACGAAGGGUGCAAGCGUUAAUCGGAAUUACUGGGCGUAAAGCGCGCGUAGGUGGUUCAGUAAGUUGGAAGUGAAAUCCCCGGGCUCAACCUGGGAACUGCUUGCAAAACUGCUGAGCUAGAGUACGGUAGAGGGUGGUGGAAUUUCCUGUGUAGCGGUGAAAUGCGUAGAUAUAGGAAGGAACACCAGUGGCGAAGGCGACCACCUGGACUGAUACUGACACUGAGGUGCGAAAGCGUGGGGAGCAAACAGGAUUAGAUACCCUAGUAGUCC
rnacentral:rRNA from 1 species